rnacentral:rRNA from 1 species
UUAGAGGAAGUAAAAGUCGUAACAAGGUUUCCGUAGGUGAACCUGCGGAAGGAUCAUUACAGAGUUCAUGCCCUCACGGGUAGAUCUCCCACCCUUGAAUAUUUUAUACCUUUGUUGCUUUGGCGGGCCGCUUCGGCUACCGGCUUUGGCUGGUGAGUGCCCGCCAGAGGACCCCAAAUUCUGAAUUAUAGUGUCGYCUGAGUACUAUAAAAUAGUUAAAACUUUCAACAACGGAUCUCUUGGUUCUGGCAUCGAUGAAGAACGCAGCGAAAUGCGAUAAGUAAUGUGAAUUGCAGAAUUCAGUGAAUCAUCGAAUCUUUGAACGCACAUUGCGCCCCUUGGUAUUCCGAGGGGCAUGCCUGUUCGAGCGUCAUUAUAACCCCUCAAGCUCAGCUUGGUGUUGGGGCCUGCCGCACGGGCAGCCCUUAAAAUCAGUGGCGGUGCCAUCUGGCUCUAAGCGUAGUAAUUCUUCUCGCUAUAGAGUCACGGUGGAUGCUUGCCAUUAACCCCCAAUUUUCAAUGGUUGACCUCGGAUCAGGUAGGGAUACCCGCUGAACUUAAGCAUAUCAAUAA